rnacentral:lncRNA from 1 species
UGGGUCUGUAGCCAGCAAAUUACUUCAUCAUCUAGAUUAUCCAUUCAGUUGAUCCUAAUUAGCAAGGAUAACAAGAAUCGUCCGCACUAAAGUCCCCUGCAGCGUGACCAUGUCGAGACCCCGGAAGAGGCUGGCUGGGACUUCUGGUUCAGGCACAUUCUGAUUGUCUUGGGAUGAAAUCGAAUCAUCACCAUUUUUCUACAAUGUCCUGAAUGAACUGUUUCUUUCAACUUUUAUUGGCACCUUCAAGGAGCAGAAAGGAGAUGGGCCAGGAGCCACAGUGAGCAAGAAGGAAAGACACAAGGGACUAUCAGGAAAACGCACCAAAACUGAGAACUCAGGUGAGGCAUUAGCUAAAGUGGAGGACUCCAACCCUC